AGACAACAGUCUGAACAGUCAUGGAGAUCAUCUUUUCUCUCUCUCUCUCGCUUUUUUCCGUGGAGCCGGGAGGGGAGGAGCAUUGGCCAGAAUUCUGCUGCCGACUCCAGCUGGACAGCAUCUUCACUGCCCUUAAUUGUGACACCUUCCCCAACUGUGGAAGUACUGCGACCACCACCCGAUCCUCUGUCUACUGCAGCCGUGGCAAGGUCUGCUCUCACGGGUUAAUUUCAGCACUGUGCAAUCUCUGUGAGGCAAAAGGCCCUAACACAUCACGAGGCACCGUGAUACCCAAGCAGCAGCUUCAAUGAAGAUGCAGGCUGCCGAGGCACACAGCGGUAGCAGACGACAAACAUAGCACGUGAGGAAUGAAAGGUCACACAAAAGCAUUUAGUUAAGGCUCGCUGUAAGCUGCUGAAUCAAAAUACAACCAAUGUUUGCAUUUAAGACGUCAAAAAAGCAUUCUUCAAGGCACUGGUGUGCCCAAGAGAAACAGGAGAAGUACAUGUACAGAUAACACACGAUUCAUCGCAGAAAGCUGUGGCACUGCUACUCGGUGAAAUGCAGAACUACAUGGGAUGAGUCAACCAUGCAAAGCCAAAGCAACAGCAGAAAAAAAAAACAAAAGCAAGUAAAGGCUCUUACUGUGCGACAAGCUCGUCAG